rnacentral:rRNA from 1 species
GACGAACGCUGGCGGCGUGCCUAAUACAUGCAAGUCGAACGCAGUGGGGACGGGUGAGUAACACGUGGGUAACCUCCCAUCAGAGGGGAUAACACUUGGAAACAGGUGCUAAACCGAUACUGAUGGAUGGACCCGCGGUGCAUUAGCUAGUUGGUGAGGUAACGGUUCACCAAGGCCACGAUGCAUAGCCGACCUGAGGUGGUGAUCGGCAACGCUGGGACUGAGACACGGCCCAAACUCCGACGGGAGGCAGCAGUAGGGAAUCUUCGGCAAUGAGCGAAAGUCUAACCGAGCAACGCCGCGUGAGUGAGAAAGGUCUUCGGAGCGUAGAACUCUGUUGUUAGAGAAGCGGUAUCUAACCAGAAAGCCACGGCUAACUACGUGCCAGCAGCCGCGGUAAUUC